CAUGAACAAUAAAUACCCUUAAUGAUUGCAUUCUAAUCCACUCCUAAUCCCUCGAAGAACAACUAAAAUUGAUGAUAGCACACAUUGCAACAUAACCAGUAUAUGAAACUUGACAACUUUAAUAAUGGUAAUUAAUCUCGAUUCUAUCAUCAGAUCGUUGGUUGAAACAUUGAUUUACAUUAAUAGCUAUAAGAAAUUUAUUAUGAUGGUAAGAAUAUUAGGGAUAAUUUAGGCAUUUUAUGUUUUUAUAUCAUUUUUCUUAUAUAUAAAUUGCUUCCGGUUUUUUUUUCCGGAAUCGAACCGGACCGAACCGUGCGCCAAAUGCAGCCAAUUCGAACCUUCGAGAGACGAACGAGAUCAACAGUUACAUCGUCCAUCGGGCAUCAUCUCGGCCUCCGCAUUGGUGCCGCAAGGUUUCCCUGAUCGAUGACGACCCUGACGCCGUCUACGGCAGCCGCAUCGGUCGCGCUCUUCGCCCUGUUGGUCCGUAAUGGGGAGCAGCAGCACGCUGCGAUACCGCAGGACUUCCCUACGCCGCCGCUCACCGCCAUCCGGAACCUCGUCGAUGCCUUCCUCCUGCCCUCUCCUCAUCCCGCGGCUUCGGGUCCCACCAAUUCGAGGUUCUUUCCCCUUUGUGGUCUCUUAAUGUGGACUGUUGGUUGCUUUUAUGGUGGUGUAUGUAGGAAACUGAUGAUGAGGUGAACGGUGUCGGCGCCGUCGGACUCGCUUAUAUUCUUUUCCGCGGUUAUCUACUGUGUUUGUUGGAUUACUUUCGGCGCAAUGUUGGUGGUAAUGGAGAGGAAGGUUCGGCGACGUGGUGCUUGCGUUGAUACUGCUUAAAACAGAGCAGGUAAGAGUCAUUGUUGAAAAAGGGGUUUUGAAGAAACACUGAUCCAGGAGGAAGGUCAAGUUUUUUCCACAGGCUGCUCUCCAAUGAUUGGAACAGUGUGCUGUUUGUCACAUCUCGGAAUAGAGGUGCUCUGAAAAACAUCACUCCCUCAUAUGGGUAGACGCAUUUGCAAUUUUGUGGGUUGAGACUCUGAUCUGGGGGACACAAGUUCGCUGCACAUUCGGCAAGACUGGUUGAAUAAGAAGGAAUUGCUGGCUCUUGUCGAAGACUGCAAAAUUUUGUAUUGGAGAGCUGAUUGCAUAUAGGAUUUCCUACGAGACUGCAGUCAACAACGGAUUCGGGAAAUGUUGGAUAAACAGAUGCAUUCAAUGAAAUUGCAGUCUGAUUAAAAUGUCAAAUCGCAUCCAGAAUUCUUACAUGAGAGUUCUAUCGUAACUGCUGUCAAGUGCAACUCUUGUAAGCUUAUUGUUUUUGAAAUUUACGAUCUGUAAUUGCUGGCUGAUGCUAUUGCCCAUGUCAAGGGUUCCGUUAAAUUCAUUGUAAUCAAGGAUCCUGAAAAAUGUUGACGACAAUAGUCAAAUUAGACCAAGGAUUUCUUUGUUUUUA